AGAGUUUGAUCAUGGCUCAGAGUGAACGCUGGCGGCAGGCCUAAUACAUGCAAGUCGAACGGCAGCACAGCAGAGCUUGCUCUGUGGGUGGCGAGUGGCGGACGGGUGAGGAAUACGUGGGAAUCUGCCCAGUCGUGGGGGAUAACGUAGGGAAACUUACGCUAAUACCGCAUGCGCCCUUCGGGGAAAGCCGGGGACCUUCGGGCCUGGCGCGAUUGGAUGAGCCCACGUCGGAUUAGCUAGUUGGCGGGGUAAAGGCCCACCAAGGCGACGAUCCGUAGCUGGUCUGAGAGGAUGGUCAGCCACACUGGAACUGAGACACGGUCCAGACUCCUACGGGAGGCAGCAGUAGGGAAUAUUGGACAAUGGGCGCAAGCCUGAUCCAGCCAUGCCGCGUGAGUGAAGAAGGCCCUCGGGUUGUAAAGCUCUUUUGUCCGGAAAGAAAAGCGCCGGGUUAAUACCCUGGUGUCCUGACGGUACCGGAAGAAUAAGCACCGGCUAACUUCGUG
rnacentral:rRNA from 1 species